AAGCGAUGACGAUGACUGCGUUCUGUUGAAGGAAUAGGGUUCUUCACAACCGUCUGAUAUCUUCUAGACGAUUAUCGGCGCUUCAGAGCUU